ACUGAGAAAAAUGUCCUGUGUAGGCAGCUAAUGAACAUUGUGUCAUCAAUGUUCCAGCGUAAGUCUAAGGAUUGUUUUGCUAGUGUGACAUUAACUAUUUCACAAUGACAAGACAACAGACAAAAAUCUAGAAAAUCUGUCAAACAUGGUCCAGGGACGUAAUUCCAGUGAACUGGAGACAAAGCUGAUGCAGGCUUUGAAAGUAACGGUGGGCCCCAAAUCCAAGUGAUAAUAUCUACAACCAAAGACCUAAUUACUGGUUUUCAAAUAAAUAUUUUAGAAACCAAGCUGGAUUUUUUGGAAUAGUGGACCACAUACCACAUGCUAGUCAUAAAAUAAUUUCAUAUAGAUUAAUUUUAUACAUGAUGAGAUGUGGAUGUAAAUAUUGAGAAUGAUGCAUUAAUAACUCACUCUAUCUCCUCUCAGUCCUGGAAGACCAGCAGCUCCACGCUCACCAGGCAUUCCCUGCAGUCCAGGGGAACCCAUAGCUCCUGGAGUACCAGGGGCUCCAGGUUCUCCCUAAUGACAAAUGGAGGAAAUCAAAGACUGGUUAACAGGUAGGCUUACUUGAACAUUAUUUUACUUAAAGUCACAAAUGAAUUAAAUUACCCUUUACCUUAGCACCAUCAUUACCAGGAGAACCAGGAGAUCCUCGGGCACCAGCAGGUCCAACAGGGCCAGGGGCACCACGUUCACCAGGGAAUCCUCUGUCACCCUGAGGAGAUCAUGUGGAAGAAACUUAGAUCUCAGCCGUCCAGCCAUUAAGAAGAAAUCCAUCCUUUUUUUAAUGAAAAGGGAGAAAAGUGUUGAGAGGCUCCAACAAACUGAUGAAACUUACGGUCGUCCUCGCCCUGCGCCCUGACCAGGAGCACCGUGGCGCCAAGCAGCAGCGCCAGCCGCAAAUCCACAAAGCUGAACAUGUCUAGAUGCCACCAGACAUGUAGACUCUUUGAGGCAAAAGAGGAAAAAAGUUGGGGAUGUUUUCUCUUUCUGCUACACUCCACUCAUACAGGGGUGUUUGGGGCAGGAUCCGUGCGUCUGUCCAAAGUCCUCCUGACCCCAGCAGAAAACUCCCUACUGCCUGCACUCAUUUUCCACAAGGGCUUUUAUAUGGGAGCCCAAAGAACUGGGAGGUACUGGGACAGGACCGACUAAGGGGGGGUGCACCCUCAUUAGCCCGUUGCUGCUGCUCACGUUUAGGGAAGACAAGAAAGAACAUCUCCUUCAAAGGGAAAAAAAAAAAAAUAGAAGGAGAAAAAGCAUGUCCCUCCUUCCAUAAUUGCACAGCAUGCCUGGAUCUGAGGAAGGAGGGGUUUGAGCAGGGGGAAACUUGAUCCAUAUGAUCACUGGAGAGGCAGAGGAGGAUUUCCAUCUUCAGUAACCCUGCUUUUAAUCUAGAUUUCUGUUUGGUUGUGAUUCACCUUCUGAUUUACUUGGAUUUCAUGCUAUUUUCAGUUCGGACUGCCUUGUACAUUGUUUUAUGGAGAUUUAACCCAUAGAAGAGUGUAGUUUCAACUGUCACUGCUUUAAGAUAGCCUAAAUAUGGGAAAUUAGCCUGUGUUUCUUUUUCACAUUACCUUGAUUCACAAUUCACAAACAAUCAUCAUCUUACAUUUAUCUGAUUAGCAUCUUUGGGUGAUCCAAUUUAAAUUUGUUUUAACUAUAUUUUUGUAUUAAAAACUUAAUUUGCAGCUAGAAGACUUUGAAAAUACUCUCUGGCAAUAUAUAUGAGUGAUAAGUCUUUCUUUCUCAGUGUACCUUGAUUAAUGGACAACUAAACAUGUCUUGAAAUGCAUCAAAAAGGUUCAUUUGUAACCGCCUAUUAACAAUAAAAGAUCAGAUUAGGUCAGUGAGUCAAGAGUGUAGUGGCAUUGAUGGAUAAUGACAUAUAUUUAUUUACCUUGCAUUAAUCUGAAAAAUCUUUUUCACCAUACAAUACAAAAAUGAGAACAAGAUGUCAUAACAUCUGAUGCAAUGAAUCAUUGUAUUUAUCGUUAAUUUGGGCAGGAAAAUAAGAUGAUCUGCUAAUGGAAUACCCUUUACUCUUAAAAGACGAUAAUUAGAUAUUAUGCACUUAAAAUAAGAGAAUGCAAUGGUUGUAUUUUUGUUAAUUUAAAGUUAAUUGUCUUGAACCAUUGCCAUUCUUUUUUUUCAAGAAUCCUGAGCAAGAUUUGUCUCUUCCAGAGGAUUGGUGAAAAUUAGAGUCUGUUUUGCUUCACUGCUGAUACAAAAUAAACCGCUAUAAAUCUUUCCCUGAGCUCAAAUUAGAUUAAACAUAUAAGAACUGUGUUGCUACACCUAUGUGCAUGUUUAAUUUGCUUCCUCUUGAACAAAAAAUGACCGCCUGAGCAUUCCAAACAUAAACAUUUAUAAGGUUUUCCCCCAAACAGCAGGCAGCUUUUUACCCAGUGACCUCCAAAUACAAUGUCUUAGGAGGGGUUUUGUGAAAGACCGUUCAGAAUUUUAUUUUAAAAGACAUAGUUUACAUCAUUAUGUACUCUUUAAUUUAGGCCAUCAGCUUUCAAACUAAAACAAUAAAAGAAAACUGCACAUUUCA